rnacentral:rRNA from 1 species
AGUGGACGCUGGCGGCGUGCUUAACACAUGCAAGUCGAACGAGAACGGAUUAUAGCUUGCUAUAAUUGUCAGCUAAGUGGCGCACGGGUGAGUAAUGCAUAGGUAAUAUGCCUCUUACUAAGGGAUAACAAAUGGAAACGUUUGCUAAUACCUUAUACUCCUUAUUAACAGAAGUUAAUAAGGGAAAGAUUUAUUGGUAAGAGAUUAGCCUGUAUUGUAUCAGUUAGUUGGUGGGGUAAUGGCUUACCAAGACUAUGACACAUAACUGGUUUGAGAGGAGGAUCAGUCACACUGGAACUGGGACACGGUGCAGACUCCUACGGGAGGCAGCAGUGGGGAAUAUUGCACAAUGGACGAAAGUCUGAUGCAGCAACGCCGCGUGGAGGAUGACACAUUUCGGUGCGUAAACUCCUUUUAUGAGAAGAUAAUGACGGUAUUAUAUGAAUAAGCACCGGCUAACUCCGUGCCAGCAGCCGCAGUAA